UAGAUGGAGCAUGUGCGAUCACCUGUUGCCACUCCCAAGCAGAGAUGCUGUCCAAGCGGGGGUAUUUCUCCCUAUUUCACGGUAACUGGUGUGGAAGAGUCAUUCAAUAUAGAAACCGCAAACUUCUCCACCAUUUUGAACAGUACUUUUUCUUCAAUGUGGAAACUCCAGUAAGAGUUUAGAACGGCACGGACACAAGCAGAGUGAUACACACACAGUGAAGCGUCCGAGUGCUGAGGACAGGAACUAACUGUUGGGUGCUAUGGCACCUAAAUGUGCUCCUUAAGUAAAGGUGGGAAUGUCCUGGUUGGAAAUGUUCCAUUUCAAGCUCAACUUAAAAAACAUCUAGCGCU